rnacentral:rRNA from 1 species
GCCCAGACAUAACACGGCAAACCCGCCCGCCAAACAACUACGAGUGAAAACUUAAAACUUAAAAGACUUGACGGUACUUCACACCCAGCCUAGAGGAGCCUGUCUACUAACCGAUAAUCCACGAUUAACCCAACCCCUUCUAGCCAUCAGCCUAUAUACCACCGUCGCCAGCCUACCUUGUAAAAGAAACAAAGUAAGCUAAACAGUAAUACACUAACACGACAGGUCAAGGUGUAACUAAUGAAGUGGACCAAGAUGGGCUACAUUUUCUAAUCCAGACUACACGAAUAAGAUUAUGAAAUUAAUCUUUAAAGGCGGAUUUAGCAGUAAGCCGAGAACAUAAUACUCAACUGAAAUCAAUGCAAUGAAGUGCGU